rnacentral:lncRNA from 1 species
GGGCUGGGGGCUGGGGGCCUGGGCUGCAGCUUGGGCGGCCCGCCCCGCCCCGGCGUCCCGCGACACCGGCUCGCAGACCGUCACAUGCCACACCUCUGCAGACCGGAGGGUGCGGCCGCACAUGGCUGGGGAGGCGUGAGUUAGCCGGGCUUGCGGCACGGAGACUUUCCUGGAGGAGACCCUGAAGGACCUGGACAAGUGCUAUGAGAAGGUCCGCCGCGACACGGACUGCGCGCAGAAGCCGCGGGUGCCACCCUGCGCCCAGCGGGCCCUGAUCCGCAGCUAGGAGCCGGGCGAUCAGAAGAUCCAGAUCAAGAGCCAGAGGGUGGAGCUGGUGGAGAGCCUCACGCGGCAGGUAGACAGCCACGUGGAGCCGUUCCACCCGCAGCAGGAGCAGGGCGACGCAGCGCGACGGCGGCAAGGUCGGCCCGGACAGGCCCAGGGGCGAGGCGGACGCGCAGGCGGAGAAGUCCAACAGCAAAGCGUUCUCGGCGGCAGCGCAACAACUAGAACCGUGAGAACGCGUCCAGCAACCGCGACCACGACGACGUCACCUCGGGCACGCCCAAGGAGAAGAAAGCCCAGACCUCUAAGAAGAAGCAGAGCUCCAUGGCCAAGGCGUAGCGGCAGGCGUCCCCCGCAGACCUCCCCAUCGACCCCAGCGAGCCCUCCUACUGGGAGAUGAUCCGCUGCGACAACGAAUGCCCCAUCGAGUGGUUCCGCUUCUCGUGUGUGAGUCUCAACCAUAAACCAAAGCGCAAGUGGUACUGUUCCAGAUGCCGGGGAAAGAACGAUGGGCAAAGCCCUUGAGAAGUCCAGAAAAAAAACAGGGCUUAUAACAGGUAG